UACGGAGGGUGCAAGCGUUGUCCGGAUUUAUUGGGUUUAAAGGGUGCGUAGGCGGCCAUUUAAGUCUGGGGUGAAAGCCCGUUGCUCAACAACGGAACUGCCCUGGAAACUGGAUGGCUUGAGUACAGACGAGGGUGGCGGAAUGGAUGCUGUAGCGGUGAAAUGCAUAGAUAGCAUCCAGAACCCCCGAUUGCGAAGCAGCUGCCUAGACUGUAACUGACGCUGAGGCACGAAAAGCGUGGGGAGCGAACAGG
rnacentral:rRNA from 1 species